rnacentral:rRNA from 1 species
UACGUAGGGUGCAGGCGUUAAUCGGAAUUACUGGGCGUAAAGCGUGCGCAGGCGGUCUUUUAAGUCAGAUGUGAAAUCCCCGGGCUUAACCUGGGAACUGCGUUUGAAACUGGAAGGCUAGAGUGUGGCAGAGGGGGGUGGAAUUCCACGUGUAGCAGUGAAAUGCGUAGAUAUCGUAAGGAAGACCAGUGGCGAAGGCGAAUCUCUGGACAGUUACUGACACUGAGGCACGAAGGCCAGGGGAGCAAACGGG